rnacentral:rRNA from 1 species
AUUGAACGCUGGCGGCAGGCCUAACACAUGCAAGUCGAACGAGUGGCGGACGGGUGAGUAAUGUCUGGGAAACCGCCUGAUGGAGGGGGAUAACUACAGGAAACGGUAGAUAAUACCGCAUCACAACGGGUGUGCCCAGAUGGGAGUAGCUAGUAGGUGGGGUAAUGGCUCACCUAGGCGAGGAUCCAUAGCUGGUCUGAGAGGAUGACCAGCCACACUGGAACUGAGACACGGUCCAGACUCCUACGGGAGGCAGCAGUGGGGAAUAGUGCACAAUGGGCGCAAGCCUGAUGCAGCCAUGCCGCGUGUAUGAAGAAGGCCUUCGGGUUGUAAAGUACUUUCAGCGGGGAGGCGUUACCCGCAGAAGAAGCACCGGCUAACUCCGUGCCAGCAGCCGCGGUAAUUC